rnacentral:sRNA from 1 species
AGAAAAGGUCGUCACAUGGGACAUGGUAAAAGAAAAGGUACUGCCAAUGCCCGUAUGCCCUCAAAAAUUUUAUGGAUUAGGAGAAUGAGAGUACUUCGCAGACUAUUGAGAAAGUACAGGGAAGCUAAAAAAAUUGA